rnacentral:rRNA from 1 species
AGCGAACGCUGGCGGCAGGCCUAACACAUGCAAGUCGAACGAACCUUUCGGGGUUAGUGGCGGACGGGUGAGUAACACGUGGGAACGUGCCUUUAGGUUCGGAAUAACUCAGGGAAACUUGUGCUAAUACCGAAUGUGCCCUUCGGGGGAAAGAUUUAUCGCCUUUAGAGCGGCCCGCGUCUGAUUAGCUAGUUGGUUGAGGUAAUGGCUCACCAAGGCGACGAUCAGUAGCUGGUCUGAGAGGAUGAUCAGCCACAUUGGGACUGAGACACGGCCCAAACUCCUACGGGAGGCAGCAGUGGGGAAUCUUGCGCAAUGGGCGAAAGCCUGACGCAGCCAUGCCGCGUGAAUGAUGAAGGUCUUAGGAUUGUAAAAUUCUUUCACCGGGGACGAUAAUGACGGUACCCGAAGAAGAAGCCCCGGCUAACUUCGUG